rnacentral:rRNA from 1 species
UUUGAACGCUGGCGGAAUGCUUUACACAUGCAAGUCGAACGGCAGCACGGGGGCAACCCUGGUGGCGAGUGGCGAACGGGUGAGUAAUACAUCGGAACGUGCCCGGUCGUGGGGGAUAACGUAGCGAAAGUUACGCUAAUACCGCAUACGAUCUGAGGAUGAAAGCGGGGGACCUUCGGGCCUCGCGCGAUCGGAGCGGCCGAUGUCAGAUUAGGUAGUUGGUGGGGUAAAGGCCUACCAAGCCGACGAUCUGUAGCUGGUCUGAGAGGACGACCAGCCACACUGGGACUGAGACACGGCCGAGACUCCUACGGGAGGCAGCAGUGGGGAAUUUUGGACAAUGGGCGCAAGCCUGAUCCAGCCAUUCCGCGUGCAGGACGAAGGCCUUCGGGUUGUAAACUGCUUUUGUAUGGAACGAAAAGGCUCUGGCUAAUACCUGGGGCUCAUGACGGUACCGUAAGAAUAAGCACCGGCUAACUACGUG